CCUACGGGUGGCAGCAGUGAGGAAUAUUGGUCAAUGGGCGCGAGCCUGAACCCUCCCCGUCGCUUUCCUUCUGCCUGCCCUCCUGUUUUUCCCCCUCUUUUGCCGUGGCGCCCCGGGCGCCCCGUGUGGCGCCACUGAGAGUACCCGGAGAAACAGCAUCGUUUAACUCCGUGCAAGCAGCCGCGGUAAUACGGGGGCUGCGCGCGUUAUCCGGUUUUUUGGGGUUUCACGGGUGCGUCGGUGGCGCGUUCCGUCGGUGGUCCACUUUGGGGGCUCAACCCCUUACCGCCAUUGCCACUGGCGCUCUUGAGUAGAAGAGAAGUAUGCGGAAUGCGUGGUGUAGCGGUGAAAUGCAUAGAUAUCACGCAGAACCCCGAUUGCGAAGGCAGCAUGCCGGCUUCCUACUGACGCUGAAGCACGAAAGCGUGGGGAUCGAACAGGAUUAGAUACCCCUGUAGUC
rnacentral:rRNA from 1 species